UACGUAGGGUGCGAGUGUUGUCCGGAAUUACUGGGCGUAAAGAGCUCGUAGGUGGUUUGUCGCGUUGUUCGUGAAAACUCACAGCUUAACUGUGGGCGUGCGGGCGAUACGGGCAGACUGGAGUACUGCAGGGGAGACUGGAAUUCCUGGUGUAGCGGUGGAAUGCGCAGAUAUCAGGAGGAACACCGGUGGCGAAGGCGGGUCUCUGGGCAGUAACUGACGCUGAGGAGCGAAAGCGUGGGGAGCGAACAGG
rnacentral:rRNA from 1 species